UAAAACACGUUUGUUCUCUUACGAAAUUACUCGUUUUUUGUUUAAUUUACUAUUUUUAUUAGUUGAAUAAAUGUAUGCAAAAUAUGUGUACUGCGCAUGCGUCAACUAUAAUGCCUAAACUUUCUACGCAGUUUUAAUCGUGAAAAAAAAAACAAAUAUAAAUCCUGAAGGAGUAAUUAAUUGGUAUACAGUUUAAUUAAAAAAAUUCAAAAAUAAAUAAAUGAAAUAAUGUGCAUUGGCGUAAAGUUAGACCAAAUACAUUUUUUCCAUCCUCCUACUUAUCGUUAUGAAGGUAUAAAAAAGAUAGGGAGUUCACAUAGGUAAUAUAAACAAAUAAGUAAAUAUGUUCAUUAUUUAUCUUUCAAGAGAUAAUGUAGGUAUACAUUAUAAUAACUUUUUUACACAGUCGAAAUUAUAUUCCUAACAUUAGUAAAAUAACGUUUAAAUUUUUUUUUAUAGGUUAUGUAUUGAAAGUGUUGGAAAAUUAUUUCAUGUUUUAGCUGGAAAACGACAUGGAGAAUUAUAUGCAAUACAAGAUAAUGGGCUCCAUCAAAUGAAUUUGAAUGAAACCAAACUGUUUACCAUCCAAAUUCGAUUGUCGGGCAGAUAGAAAACGAAAAUUCACUCAAAGUGAACCCCGGCCUGCAUUUGUGAAACGAAAAAGACUCACUAUUGUCAAGGAGAUUGAAGAGACGACUAAAAAUGAGAUGUGUUAUAUUAUCAUACCUUUGCCAUCUUGUAGUCAAGAUGUCCACUUGAAAAUAGGUGUAGUAAUGACAAAGCUAUCCAACUAGCUCCAGCACAGGAACACAAAGGCAAGUGUGUAUUGCCACAUCACCCCUUAAUAUAUCUGAAGCAAGUACAAGUAAACAAUCAGAACCAGCAAAAAUAAAACUGUUGUUCCUGAGGACAAAUUUGACAGUGAUGAGUCAAAUGCACCAGCAACAGAAGGAUCAACUGUUGACUAUGAGUUAUCUCUCUAUAUCUCCACUCCAUCAAAGACUUGUGCACUUCAGACUAUAGCUCUCAAGAAGACUAAAAAAGUUGAAAAAAUGAAUGUGUUAACAACUUUAUCUAAAGUGAAAAAUAAACCACGUUUAUAUAUUGGUCUUCCACAAGAAUUAUAUUUCAUAAUAGGCUUGAUUGAGAAACAUACAAAUGUUUCUGAACAAAAUAUUAUAUUAUGUUUGAUGAGAAUAAAAUUAAAUAGAACAUUCUCUCAAUUGGCUGAUGAUUUCGAUAUAUAUGUAAGUCAAGCAAGCAAUAUAUUUUUCAACAAACUGCCAGAAAUUGCAAAUGUAAUAUCACCCCUUGUUAGAGUAUAAAAAAAAAAUACAAUAAAUAUGUAUGCAGGAAGGAUAAUUACUUAUUAAAUCUUAUUUAUCCGGAAGAAUCCAAAGGUAGACGUUAAAGGAAAGAGAUCUUCCGGUGUCUUACUUAAUAUGGGUGUUCCUCAGGGUUCCAUAUUGGGUCCCUUCUUAUUUCUUGUGUAUAUCAAUGAUUUACCAAAGUUUAUUGAAACCCGUCACGAGGUCGUAUUAUUCGCUGAUGAUACAUCCUUAUUGUUUAAAAUUAAACGACAAUUGGAAGAUUAUGACGAUGUGAAUGAUGCUAUCUCGCGCGUGGUAAAUUGGUUUAGUGUUAAUAAUCUGUUAUUAAAUAACAAAAAAACAAAAUGUAUAAAAUUUACCACACCUAAUGUUAGACAAGUAGACACUAAUAUCAUUGUAAGUGGAGAGACACUGGAGCUUGUUGAUUCGACAGUUUUUCUUGGUAUAACAGUUGAUUCCAGGCUGCAGUGGGGUCUUCACAUAUGCAAGUUAGCGAAUAGACUUAGUUCUGCAGCUUUUGCGGUAAAAAAAAUACGAACGUAUACUGAUGAAGAUACGGCACGUCUAGUUUAUUUCAGUUAUUUUCAAAGUGUUAUGUCCUAUGGCAUUUUGCUAUGGGGCAAUGCUGCCGAUGUUGAAACGAUUUUCAUCCUGCAGAAGAGGGCUAUUCGUGCUAUUUAUAAUAUGCACCCGAGGGAAUCCUUGAGGGACAAGUUUAAGGAAAUCAAAAUUCUAACUUUAGCGUCCCAAUACAUUUUUGAAAAUUUAUUGUACGUGCGUAAAAACAUUUUAGAAGAGUCUGCGAUUUGCAUAAUGUGAACACUAGGAACAAACAUAGGCUUGCGUUGCCGGCGGCUCGAAUUAAGAAAAUAAGCAACUCUUUCAGGGGGCUGGGUGUACAACUUUUCAACAAGAUCCCACAAAACGUUCAACUACUACCUGUUCAUAGAUUUAAGAAAACUGUCGAGGAACGUUUGUGCAACAAGGCAUAUUAUAAAGUUAAGGAUUUUUUACUAAAUGGCACUACAUGGGAAUGAGGCGUUCGCUCCUGGCCUUUUCAUUUUUCAUUAUUAUUAUUAUUUAUUUGAAUUGUAUUUUUUUUAAUUGUUUUUUCGUAUACUGUAAAUAUGUUUUCUUGUUUAAAAAAAAAAAAGCCCGCUGAGUUUGUUUCGCCGGUUCUUCUCAGGACUGUGGCUUUUUUUGGAACCGGUGGUAGAGUUAACAUUUUCUUUUACAUUUUGAUAUUCAACAAGUGUGUUUUUGAUGACAUCCAAGUUGAAAUAAAUGAUUUUGAAUUUGAA